UGAGAGAACAAAUUAGUCACAUCCCUGGAGGAUUUAAAUCACUAAAUCCUGCAGAGUUCCAGACUCUUAUGGGGAGCUUUGUGGAAGGGAUCCUUGUGGGAGAGGAGGUGGGGAUUUCAAUCUCCUCCCUUGCCUGUGGGUCAUGGGAUCUAGCAGUGACUCGCCCAGAGGGAGACACCACAACAAUGGAUGUGAAAGUCUGUCAGUAUGAGAAUAUUCAAGAAAUAAUUGAGGGAUUAGAAACACAGACCCAGGUAAAGAGAGACAAUCACUUGAAGAAGCAACCUUGAAUGGAUUCCUUGGCAGCUGAGAAGAAGAGAAGAGUGAAUUCUGGGAAUCCAACUCAGGUGACUCACCUAGCAGAGACCAGUCCUCCCAAGUCAACUCUUGGUAGUCUCUCUAACUCAGCCACUUGACUGAUCACCAUCAUAUGCAGCAACAAUCUUCACCAUAUCUUUGAAUCAGGGGAAGCAGGAAGAAAAUCCCCCAAGAAGAUCCAGAAGCCUUACAAAUCCUCAAGGGGAGCCCAAUACCUCAAGAAGUGCCUCUUCAAUGCUUUUUCUUCCUUAUCCUAAGGUACCUUGUAGUCCAGAUCAGGAAUCAUAUCCUUGAGGACUUAAUCUUUCCAUCUUCAGAACUUCUGCCAUGAAGACUUGUUUUGUUGUAUCUCACCUAACUCACUAUAUCAGACCAGGUUUUUUUCAAGAUUCAGCUCAAAUGCCACUUUGUACAUAAAGCUUUUCCUGAAUUCCUUCCCCAGCUUCCAGGUCAUGAAGAGUUGGACACAAUUGAAAAAUAACAAAAUUGAUAGAUGAUGACUAGUAAAGAUAUAUCCAAAUGUGGACAGUA